UGUCCAGGGGCGGGAAUCGAACCCACAACCUUCCGCUUACCGGGCAGAUGCCAUGUCCACUAGGCAAAAAUACGUCCAGGGU
rnacentral:tRNA from 1 species